AUCAUAUAUUAAUAAUGAAGAAUAUACCAGCUCAUUAAUAUUGACCAGUAUCAGUAGUACAGUAAUAUUAACAACGAUUGAACCCUCUUCAUCUCCUGUCAGUGUUGGUCUAUCAUUAAUAAUAACAACAGUAAUGAUUGGAUUAACUGCAGUAUUGUUCAUAAUAUCAAUAAUAAUAUUAGCCACACUCUCAGUAUAUGCACUGUAUCAUAACAAGGCAAUGGCUAAGAAUAGCAACAGGUACAAUAUAAGAUAAAAAGGAAAGUUUAUAUUUAAUUUUUUUA